rnacentral:rRNA from 1 species
GACGAACGCUGGCGGCGUGCUUAACACAUGCAAGUCGAGCGGUAAGGCCCUUUCGGGGGUACACGAGCGGCGAACGGGUGAGUAACACGUGGGUGACCUGCCCUCAGCUCUGGGAUAAGCCUGGGAAACCGGGUCUAAUUCCGGAUAUGACUCCAUGACGCAUGUUGUGGGGUGGAAAGCCUUGUGCGGCUGAGGAUGGGCCCGCGGCCUAUCAGCUUGUUGGUGGGGUGAUGGCCUACCAAGGCGACGACGGGUAGCCGGCCUGAGAGGGCGACCGGCCACACUGGGACUGAGACACGGCCCAGACUCCUACGGGAGGCAGCAGUGGGGAAUCUUGCGCAAUGGGCGAAAGCCUGACGCAGCGACGCCGCGUGAGGGAUGACGGCCU